UGUGUACCUACUAUGCCCUUCUCCAAGU
rnacentral:piRNA from 1 species